rnacentral:tRNA from 1 species
UAUGAAAUAGUGUAAAAUGCACUAGAAAUUUUGAUUUUCUAAGUUUUAGUUUAAUUCUAAAUUUCAUAA